UUUCCGUAGGUGAACCUGCGGAAGGAUCAUUACCGCGUCAGGGUCUCUCAGGCCCGACCUGUCACCGUGUUUUUUUGUGACCUUGUUACUUUAUCUGUCCUGCCUCGUUGAGAGUCCGCCGGGGACUACCCGCUUUUGGCCCGUGCCCUUCAGUAUCUCCCUUAAAUUCUUUAUGAACCUUUCGUCUGUGUUAAUGGAUAUACUUAAAAAAAACUUUCAACAUUGGAUCUCUUUGUUCUGACAUCGAUGAAGCACGCAGCAGAUCGGAAUAGCAUACGU
rnacentral:misc_RNA from 1 species